ACCUCUGAGGUAGAGCCCCGCAGGGGAGGAGAGCGGGACCUCCAGGAAGUGCGGGUGCUCGAGGUGGUGACUCCUGGAGAGUGCGGCGGCUGCUGCUUCUCAUCAUCAUGCGUCGGGGUCUGUCGGCAUUUAGUGGAGUGACUAGGGGCGGCAGGGAAUUCCGUGCGGCUCGAGGGCCCAAAGUGGCCAUCAUGAACAGGAGGAGGAAGACGACAUGGCGUACCACCACGUUGCACUUCAACCGGACAACUAGGUCUCUGUUUUGUUGUAUCUAGUGUAGAUGCGCUUGCUUUACAUUGCUCGUCCUGGUUUUCAAGAUGGGGAGUUCAUGGACUGGGAAGAAGCUUGUGAACAGGGUUUGCUUGUUAUUGGCAGAUGUUACUAAGACUAAGAACAGAAUCUGGAAAAUUGUAUCCUUUUUUAUGGAUUUUAAGUUGAGAGAGGUAUAUAUAGUUCAACACCAUUAGCAGUCCAGCAGCUUCAUAUUUGCGGCAGCUGCAUGCCCUUUAUGGUGGUGGGACAAGAUCUCAAGGACUUCUCACUGGUUUAUUCUUCUUCUCAAAAGCUUGGCUAUGCUAUGCACCAAUGGACACUGGAGAGAGAGGCUGCAGUGUGUGUAAAACAGAGAAUAAAGCACAAAGUGUGAGCUUUACAGGUGCUUUUGAGAAAGUGUGCAGCACUAUCAUGUCUUCCAAUGAGGUAAAGUAUACAGAGGUGCCUUUGUACUCCUUUUCUAGCUUUUGGAUCUCCUCUUGAGUUUAAACUUAAUCAUGAAGGUAGAGAAGUAGAAGAAAGAUAAAUCUAAAUUGAUUUGUACAUCAUAAGGUAAGAAAAUUCAUCAGAUUUGAUGUCGACUAGAGAGAGGAAACUGCAAACACAAAGCCAACAAUAUUACUUAUCAUGUUAGAUGUCAAUUAGUCUGAAUGCCUGCCUUUAUAUUUUUUAAUAACUUUAAAAGGGUAUGAUAUCAAUUUAAAUUUUAAAAUUAAUAUACAUAAUUACAUAUACACAGGUAUUUGAGAUUCAGAACAAUAUAUACUAAACUUAAAUUUAGAGAAGUACAUAUAAAUGGUUGUAAAAUAGGCAUAUAUAGGUUUGUGGGUAAUGGCAUACCUAUUCUCCAAUUGCCAUCUAUACACAAUCUUCCUUUCUCUUUAUAUUAUAGGACCAAUUCCAAGAAAAGAACUUUUUUUUUUUUGAGUUUUUCUCAACAUAUAUCCCUUUUUCAUAUUUCUCAAUCGAUGUUCUUUUUACCAUAUUUUCUAGAAUACCUUUAAUAAAGAGAUGGUAGCAACUCACCUCAAUUUUUACGGACUAAUCCAUCGAGUGAACCCAUCCAAUUCAAAAACACUGUAGCUGACGUAAAAGUCUCCAUUUUUUAUUGUUCUAGUUCUUAAACAAAUAAUGAUAAUUAGUUAAAAUAUUAUUAUUUUUUAAGUUGGAAUCUAUUAACUUUUUGAGUCAAUUGGCUUAGUUAUAAUGUUUUCGAAUAAUCUUUCGCUCGAAGUUUCGGUGAUUUUUGCUGGGGAUUUUGGUUCCUGUAGUCAUAAAUUCCCGUUCUUCGACCGGAUAUGAGCUGUUCUUGCCGAAACUGGUUCGUGAUUUGGUGGAAUUUCCGGGAGUUGGGGAAGGUUUGGGGAAGUCUGUCCUCUUUCGGAUUGAGGACGAGGAAGC